UACGAACUGUGCGAACGUUAUUCGGAAUCACUGGGCUUAAAGGGUGCGUAGGCGGCUGCCUAAGUCAGGUGUGAAAUCUCUCGGCUCAACCGGGAAACUGCGCUUGAUACUGGGCGGCUCGGAGUGAGGUAGGGGUGUGUGGAACUUCCGGUGGAGCGGUGAAAUGUGUAGAUAUCGGAAGGAACGCCAGCAGCGAAAGCGGCACACUGGGCCUUUUCUGACGCUGAGGCACGAAAGCCAGGGGAGCGAACGGG
rnacentral:rRNA from 1 species